CAAAAUUUUGCUAGAAUUGCGAAUCAAUCAAUCAUCGUUGCAGUUCCUAUCUAUAUGCAAUAUUCCUCUGCUUUCUUGGGGUAGUUAUUCUUCUCUGUCGCUCCUCGUUGGCGUGCUUGAUCUGUACUCCUGAUUCGUGUUGCACAUCUAGAAAUGGAGUUGGGCUCGAUCAAAGAUGCUUUUGAACAUGUGACGAAAAAACAAAAACUUUCAUCUUCAAAAUCUCAAGAAGUCAUUGAGCAGAUUGGACAAGGAAUCGAACAUGCUUUAUCAAGAAUACAAUCUGCGCCUGAUGCUGUCUCUCCAUCCGAUCAUAAAUUGGUCCUCAGUGAAUUGAAUGCUAAGUUGAAGGAAAUUGCUCUACUCAACCAACUGGAAGGGACACAGAAGGAAUUGAAUCUGGCUUUGAGCAAGUAUCCGAAACUUCUUGAGAGAACUUUCAAUCCCGACAUUUCAAAGGCAUAUCGCAAUGUUGAUUUUGAUGUCCACACAGUUAACCAAAUAAUUGCCAGCCACUUCUACCGUGAGGGCCAAUUUGACAUCGGGGACUGUUUCGUGAAUGAAUCCAAUGAACCAGAGGCCUCAGAUAUAAAGUCACCAUUUUUAGAAAUGUUUCAAAUACUGGAAGCCAUGAAGUCUGGAAAUCUUGAGCCGGCUCUGAAUUGGGCAACAAAGAAUCAUGAGCAACUGAUUCAGAAAGGAUCUGACAUUGAAAUGAAACUUCACAGCCUUAAAUUUGUAGAGAUAUUGCGGAGUGGUAGCCGGGACGAAGCUUUGAAAUAUGCUAGGACCUUUUUAGCUCCAUUUUCUGCUAAACAUCUGCCUGAAUUACAGAAACUCAUGGCUUGCAUAUUAUGGGCUGGGAAGCUUGAUUCUUCGCCGUAUUCUGAACUAUUAUCCUCCAUACACUGGGACAAACUGUCCGAGGAACUCGCCCGCCAGUUCUGUAAUCUUAUGGGGCAGUCUUAUGAGAGUCCAUUGAGCGUGGCAAUUGCAGCUGGAGUUCAGGGGCUGCCAACAUUGUUGAAGUUGAUGACUGUGAUGGCCGGGAAAAAGCAGGAAUGGCAGUCCAUGACACAAUUACCGGUGCCAGUGGAUUUAGGUCAAGAGUUUCAGUUCCACUCGGUGUUUGUUUGUCCAGUUAGCCGAGACCAAGCAAGUGAAGACAACCCUCCUAUGUUGUUGUCCUGCGGGCAUGUGCUGUGCAAGCAUUCGAUCACAAAGCUAUCAAAAAACAACAGCACUAGACCAUUCAAGUGCCCCUAUUGCCCAUCUGAAGUCGAAGCAGGUCAAUGCAAGCGAUUAUACUUCUGAAGCUUCACAAUAAGUAAAUUGCUUAAGACAAAGCUCUUUGGCCUUCCCAUCUUUGCUGCACUCGACAAAUCCAAAUGGCUUGACAUCAAUCACAUCUGAGGCUGAGCAGUUGCAGUCAAGAACUUUUACAGAUGAGCAACUUGUGUCAUAGAUCUUUGUACGUGUGAUGAUCCUUGUGCGGGACCAAAACCAAAUGCCCUGCCAUUUCACAUUCCAAACAAUUUGAAAGUGAUAUGUGAAUACGGGAGAACAAGGGCAAACGAGUCAUAAACAAUCAAUUGCAUCAUAUGAAGUUUGGAGGAAAGUUUUGAAUUUCUGAAAGCUCAACCAUGUAAAUACAAACCAAAAAGAUCUAGGAAAUAAUGGCUCAUUGGAACAAGACAUGUAUAUGCUUGCUACCAAAAAAGCUCUCAAUUUUAAUAUAUUUACUUUCAAAUAUAAAUUAAAUGACACCUGGACAAUAUUAAUUGUUCAAUUGGUUUGAAUUGGACAAGAUAUAUCAUCAUACAUAUCAUCAUUCUCUUUCGAUUAUAUUUUUGAAAGAGAGAGACGUUAAGGGCAAGAACAAAACAAUUGAAAAUAAUAGAGCAAGUAAAAUAAAGACAAAAAGCUGAGAGGA